CCUACGGGAGGCAGCAGUGGGGAAUCUUGCGCAAUGGGCGAAAGCCUGACGCAGCAACGCCGCGUGCGGGAAGAAGGCCCUAGGGUUGUAAACCGCUUUCAGUAGGAACGAAAAUGACGGUACCUGCAGAAGAAGGUGCGGCCAACUACGUGCCAGCAGCCGCGGUGACACGUAGGCACCAAGUGUUGUCCGGAUUUAUUGGGCGUAAAGAGCUCGUAGGCGGUUCAGUAAGUCGGGUGUGAAAACUCUGGGCUUAACCCAGAGCCGCCACUCGAUACUGCUGUGACUUGAGUUCGGUAGGGGAGCGGGGAAUUCCUAGUGUAGCGGUGAAAUGCGCAGAUAUUAGGAGGAACACCGGUGGCGAAGGCGCCGCUCUGGGCCGAUACUGACGCUGAGGAGCGAAAGCGUGGGUAGCAAACAGGAUUAGAUACCCUGGUAGUCCACGCCGUAAACGUUGGGCACUAGGUGUGGGUUCCAACCAACGGAAUCCGCGCCGUCGCUAACGCAUUAAGUGCCCCGCCUGGGGAGUACGGCGGCAACGCUAAAACUCAAAUGAAUUGACGG
rnacentral:rRNA from 1 species